rnacentral:lncRNA from 1 species
GCUUAGAUAUAGAAAGAUGUGGUGCGAGUGCUUGAAAACAAAUUAUGGUUCGGUUCAUUGUGUGCUAUACAUUAGUUGGUGCUGACAGUUCUCAAGCAAUAAAAUAUUGAUAUUUUUACUUUCCUUGAUCGCCUUUUCUCUGCUAUAAAAAUCUAUCUAUUAUAGCCAACUAUCUAAAUGUUGCGUUCGACAUGAUGUAUUAAUGUAAAGUGGCAUGUAGAUUAAAUUAUAAAAAAUCAACCUAACCACAUCCUUAAAUCGAAGAUUAUCACAUACAUGACAGAAUGACAGAACAUGAAACGAGAGAAGACCUUUACACUAUUUUUGUGCAUGUUGUUAGGAUGUUUAUUCAAAUAUCGAAGGGAACCUUUGCAUUUUAUACAAACUUUGCAGUUGUGAAAGCAUGAAAUUGAUCCGCACACUUCUCUCAGUGACAUGCAAAUCAUACAAAUAUUUAUAUAAAGUAAUUGAAACAAACAGAAUUUAGUUUUGAUUUUUAAUAAACAGAAUUUCGCUUUGACUUUUAACAAACAGAAUCGUCUAUUUCCUUUACAUGUACAUAUACAAUAGCUCUGUGAGGUCAAAUUCCUGAUGUAUUUAAGUUUUCACAUAAUCUAUCCCAAAUGUAAAUGAUAACAGUCAAAGAUAUUGAAAAAAAUCCUAAAAGCUAAUUGUUCUUGAUAAUGUUGCCAUUUCUGAUAGUUCACCUGUAACGCGCCUCGAAUUCAAAUUGUUAUUAUUUUUUCAAUCACUGACACAAUACCUCUGUUGGUUGACUGUUGAUCUCCAAAGAGGAUCAUCAGCUCAGUAACUAGUGCGUUGCUAAUGACAUAAUUUAAAAUCUGUUUUUAAUUAUAUAUUUUAAUGAUAAAUAUGGGAAUAAUAUAAAACCAAAUGUUCCAACUCUCUCUUGGAUUAAUUUGGAUAUUAUUUGCGACAAAGAACCACUCACGGAUGUAGGUAUUUAUACAGUCUUGGUUUUCAAUGUUAUGACUUUCAGCGUUCUGUGUGAUUACAGUCCGCACUAAACUGAUGUUGUAUUUAAAUUGCAAAAUAUCAAUAUAUUUUUUUUAUUACAACAGUUCAUCUAAAUAUAAUAAAACUUCAUGUACGUUAAAAUUUGAAAUAUACAAUUUGCGAUUAAUAUUGAUUGUUCCAUUCAUUAGCAUUGGUUGUCUAGCGCCAUCUCCGUGAUCCAAUGUAAGAGGUGUAUAAUGUUAAACAUCGAGGAAACAAUCUGAAAU